GAUGAACGCUGGCGGCGUGCCUAAUACAUGCAAGUCGAGCGAACAGACGAGGAGCUUGCUCCUCUGACGUUAGCGGCGGACGGGUGAGUAACACGUGGAUAACCUACCUAUAAGACUGGGAUAACUUCGGGAAACCGGAGCUAAUACCGGAUAAUAUAUUGAACCGCAUGGUUCAAUAGUGAAAGUCGGUUUUGCUGUCUCGUAUAGAUGGAUCCGCGCCGCAUUAGCUAGUUGGUAGGGUAACGGCUUACCAAGGCAACGAUGCGUAGCCGACGUGAGAGGCGGAUCGCCCGCAUGGGAGCUUGGACGCGCUCCAUGGUACUACGGUAGGGAGCAGUAGGGAAUCUUACGCAAUGGGCGGAAGCCUGACGGAGCAGCGCCGCGUGAGUGAUGAAGAUCUUCGGAUCGUAAAAAUCUGUUAUUAGGUGAGAACAAAUGUGUACGGAACUGUGCACGUCUUGACGGUACCUAAUCAGAAAGCCACGGCUAACUACGUG
rnacentral:rRNA from 1 species